GGAAUCUUGGACAAUGGGCGCAAGCCUGAUCCAGCCAUGCCGCGUGAGUGAAGAAGGCCUUAGGGUUGUAAAGCUCUUUUACCAGGGAUGAUAAUGACAGUACCUGGAGAAUAAGCUCCGGCUAACUCCGUGCCACCAGCCGCGGUAAUACGGAGGGAGCUAGCGUUGUUCGGAAUUACUGGGCGUAAAGCGCGCGUAGGCGGCGAUCCAAGUCAGGGGUGAAAUCCCGGGGCUCAACCCCGGAACUGCCCUUGAAACUAGAUUGCUAGAAUACUGGAGAGGUGAGUGGAAUUCCGAGUGUAGAGGUGAAAUUCGUAGAUAUUCGGAAGAACACCAGUGGCGAAGGCGACUCACUGGACAGUUAUUGACGCUGAGGUGCGAAAGCGUGGGGAGCAAAC
rnacentral:rRNA from 1 species